rnacentral:lncRNA from 1 species
CGCAACCACAGCCGCACAGCUGGCUUGAAAGUUGAAAGCUGUCCUCUUAAAAGGAACGGUGAAGUUGUUAAUAUAUAUUUAUUUCAUGAAGGAGAAACAAAACAAAAGAAAGCUUACCGAUGAUUUUUGAAAAUUCCAUUUCUUAAUUGUUUAUCCAUAAAUGCCUGCACCGACUGUACCAUCGCUUAUUUCAAUUAUUUUGUUAGCAUUUUUGCUUGGAUGUAGUAGUCCUUAUUCAAUGCGCUAAUCAUAAACAAUUGUUUGGUGUGUAAUAACAAUUUAGAAAUUUAGGAACUGAAUUAGCUAUUCAAUAUUAUCUCUAGUUACAUUUUUUUCCUUUUUUGACUUCUCAACUAUAUUGUUUUCACUCUUCACUUCAAAUUAUUUCAUUCUUUUUUUCUCCAAAGUGAACCUUAAAAAUUAACUUAUUAAUCAACGACAAAUCAAGCAUUCACUCGCCAUCUUCAUCUUACUUCCAAUUGAACCUCAUUACUAUUCUUUUGUUUCUUUUGUUUCCAUUUUCUUAAGCUCCACCCUAAAUUUGUUUGUCUCAACAAAAUCUCUCUUUUUCCUUUUUACUUCUUAUAGAGUUUUAUUUUAUUUAUUUUUCCUUAAAUUAUAUUUUGUUGAGAUCACAUAUCCUUUAGUUUAUUAACAAUAAUGAAUCUUUGAUUAAUAAAUAACAGAAGAAGCAAAAAGGACGAAAAUGAUUAAAAAAACCUCUGAUAUGAAGAAAAGAGACGAUUAGAUAAGUAGAGUUAGUAGCUAUAGAUGAGAAAGCAUCUUUGAAAAUACGUUUGGUAUAUAUCCAAUCGUACUACAACUCUUGUGUAUGAACACCAAUUCUUGUUUUGAAAGCUUGAUUGUGUGCUUUGAAGAUAUAAUUUUGUUCUGUAAUUUCUAUAAGUUUAUCAUCUGGACAUGUUGCAUUCUUGUGGUUUGUAAUUUGUGCAAGGAUUUUUGCUUAUUCUUUUUAACUUUGCAUUGUGUGCUUUGAAGAUAUAAUUUUGCUCUAUGUUAUGGUCAGUCUUGUUAUAAAGAUUGGAUAUUGUAAUGAAUUCUAGGGUAGUUAAGGGUAUUUGGUUAGAGUAAGAGAGUGAUUAAAACCGCGUUUAAGAGUUGCUUAAAAAUGAUGUUCAACACAAUUCUAGGGAUUUUAUUGCUCAUUAUGUUAUGAUAUUGAAUAGGACAAGUUACUAAUCAAAUAUAUGCAUCACAUUCUUGUGUUGUUUAUUUCUUUUCCUUUAUGGUUAGUUAACUAUAUGGUUACAUUUUUCCUUCUUUUAUAAUUUUGGUAAUGACUAAUGAGAACUUAUGCAUCCUGAAGAAUUCUUCUGUCAAGUCUAGAUGUCAUCUUGCCUUACCUAUAUUAACUAUUGCUUUAUAAAUGAAUAUGUAGGUUUUGAUUGGGGGUGUUUUCAAGGUAAUGAGCAUGCAAUUUGUAUUUCACAUGGAAAUUAAUUUGAUUAUAAAUUAUUAAGUUAUUUGAACUAAGAAAACAGGAUCAUUUUUAGGUGAUACAUGUUUUAUGUUUUGUGAGCUCGAAAUUGUUAUUAAUUAUAAUUUAUUUUAUACAUGGUCGGUGCUUUUCUUCAUUUAUCUAUGCCAUCUAUUGUAUCGAAGAUUUUACAUCCUUUAUCAUAUGUGUUGUAGUUUAGAUGCUCCUUCAAUUGUUACUGUUUGAAAUAGUAAUAAAUUAAGUUUUGCAAUCCUCAUUCUUAAUUACCUUAUUGAAAUAGUUGUUUCAUGUCCAGAUAUAUUUUCUUUGGCACACAUUUUUGAAUGAGGUUAUCAGGUUGCUUUAGCAUAUUUCUGAGUUGCAAUUGGAUUCUAUUAGGGGGUAUGAGAGUAAACCUAAACACCUUCCUUCUUAUAUAAGAUCUUUGGUUAGUUUUAUGUUUUUCCUUAAAUUGUUUUUGGUCCACUUUUAGAUUACAUGCUUCAAGCUGCCAAGUAAAUAAAAUCCUAUACUUCUUGCUGAAUUUGUAAUGAACCGAAAGUUACGGUAUCAGAAAUUGAGUCUUGAGUACUGUUUCCGUGAAAUUUAUUCAUGAAUAUUUAUUAGAAAUAUUUAUGAAUUAUAGUUGAAUGGUUAUUUAGUGUUUAAUUAAGUGAAGUAGCUUGAAUUUAGUUUAAAGGGCUAAAUUGCAUAAGGAAUAAAAAUUUAAUUAUAGAUUAAAGAAGUAAAAGGGACUAAUCUAGUAAUUAGACCCUAAGGGUCAUGUGUGUGUUAAUAUUGAAUAACGUGUGUAAUAGUUGGUAUAUAUGUGUAAUAGCUAUAAGAUAUUUUAUGUUAUAGCUAUUACACAUGUUAGUUUUAUAUUUAUUAUAGGUUAAUAAUGUAUAAUAAGUAAAAUUGAUAAAAUAGAAAAAGAAGAUAGAAAGACUAACAGAGAGCAAACGUGAAAGAAAGAAGAAAGAAAGAAAGAAAUAAAAAGGGAAAUUUCAGGAUUAAGGCCCUAAAGUUUGAUUGGUAAGUUGUUUUAGCUCAUUUUCUUAUGAUUUUUAUGUUUAUGGAUGCCUAAUUCAAACUUCUACAUGUAUGAGGUUAAAAUGAAGAAAAAUAGAGAAUUUUUAGAUAUUGAUUUAGUUGAAUAAAUUGAGGUUUUAUGGGUUAAAUUGAUAGAAAUUGAAGUUAGAAGUGAUUAGUUAAAGGAAUUUCUAAGUUAGGUUUAAAUAGGGACUAAGUUGAAUAAAGCUCAAAAUUUAUGUUUUAUAAUGAAUUUUAUGAGUUAGAAAUUGUUAAUGAGUUGAUUAAAAGAGAAUAUGAAGCUUAAGUUAAAGAAAAAAAGAUUAGUAAUGGAAAAAGGAUGAAAUUGGAAUUUUUGUAAAAGUUUGGUAGAAAGUGAAAAUGUGUUUUAUGAAUUAAUAUAUUGAUGAUUUUUAAUUGUAUGAUUGUUAGUAGCAAACGUAGCACCGGAUACGUCAUCAAAGAAGGGAAAAGAGAAAGUGAACAAAGAUAUCGAUUAAAUUCGAUAAAUAGUGGUUUGUAUUUCUAUAAACCGAGCUUAAUCGUUAUUGCUAUAUUUGAUAUUUAUAUUGUAUGAAAAUGUGAAUGAGGUAAGUAUUUUUACCAUAUUGAAAUGAAUGUGAUUUUGAAUACCCUAUUAACAGUGUCGGGCUAGUCGGAUAUAGUUGACAUGUCAUAGGAAUUGGAAGUAUUGGGAUAUUCCGACAUUGAGUCGAUGAGACACUAUGUGUCGACUACUGUUAAAGUUCCGGAUUUGUUCCGAUUAAGUACUUUGUGUACUAUAAUGUUAAAGUUCCGGAUUUGUUCCGAUGAAGCACUAUGUGCUUAUCCCGGAGUGUGGGUUGGAUCCAUGUAUCCGUUAGUGUCCGAGUUAUGUUAAUAAGGGUAAAUAAAGUAAAGAUUAUUAAAGUACUGAUUGAUAUUGAAUAAUAGCAAUAAUGUGUUUGAAUUACCAUGUUUUAAAGUUGAUUAAGCUAUUGUUUAUAGAAAUACCACUGAGAGUAUUCUCAGCGUACGGUUUGUUUCCGUGCGCAGGCUAGGUACGAAAGUAUAAGGACUCAGCAUACAAGCCGAUCCCCGAACUCAAAUUGGUGAAGUUUCUAUCUUUUUGAAAAAUGGCAUUGUACCUAGGAUGUCUUUUGGUCAUUUUAAAAGUAUCUAAGUUGUUAAGUGAUAUUUUGGUAUGUUUUGUAAAUGUUACCAAAACCUUAAGUAUGGUAUGUUUUGAUAUGUUAGUGAAGAGUAAUAAGAGGAAGUGUUGGUAAAUAUUGUAGAGAGAAGAAAUGAAGAUGUUAUAAACUUAGUUAUCAACAUUUUAUACUAAAACAGAUUUGGACAGUAACAGUAGUCCAACUUUGAAAAUACACCAAAAAUAGUAUAAAGUGAAUUAGAUGAUGAAUAAAAUAUGUAAUUGAAGCUUAAUGAAUCUAUUUUUAUAUGGAAGAAACAAAAUAGGUAAAAGAGUUGUAUUUUAUGAGAUAUUUACGUUUUGGUGAAACAGGGUUAGAGAAAUUUUUGGAUUCCCUAUUUUGAUUUUAAAAAUUCACCAUAAAUUGUGUAUUAAUAAUUAGGACUCAAAAUUUAUAUAUAUGGAUUCUUUAUUGAGUCUAUUUUUAAUUGAAACAAAUGGCAUAGUCAUUGGAUUUUUGUACAGGAAGAAAUUUGAUUCGUAGUGCACAAGGGUCAGAGUAGCUGAACCCUGAAAUAGGGGAGACUUUUUCUAAUAAAUUGUACUAAGUUGCCUGACCAAAAAUUCUAGAAAAAAAUUAGUAAGUAGAUAUAUGAGUCUAGUUUCAGGGAAAAUUUACAGAAUUGGAUUUCGAGUUUCGUAACUCGAGAUAUGAUUUUUUUAGCGACCGUGAUGCAGAUGGAUAGUUUACUACGAAAACUGUUUAAGUGCUAAGAUAAGUUUUGUAAUGUCUCCUGCUUGACUCCGGCAACGGUCUCGGGUAGGGGGACGUUACAGAAUUUAUAUAUGUUUCUUUAGAUGUUCAUCAUUAAUUUUGCGAAUCCUACUUUCUCCUGUUUGGAACUUUAAACUGGAUGAGAGACUAGAAUCUUUUGAAGCUUUUUCUUAUUUCUUUUGUUGAAGAUGUCACGUUGUUUAUAAAUCCACAUUACUUAUAACUGUUCUAAUUUAUCUAAGAACUUCAUCUUAUCAAAGGCAUCAAUUAUACUAUUUUUCUCCUCUCUUCGUCUUUGGCUGAUUUUUUUUUUUUUACAGAGCACCCAUUUUUCUCUUUGAUUGAAAUGCAAUAAAUUUUAAACUUAGAGAUUAAGACAUAUUGCAGUCACUACCUUUUAUUUAUUUGCAGUCAUGGAAGUAAAAAAGAGAAAAUAGGGAGCUUGCAUGAAUUGAUGUUGGAUUAUACAAACAUACACUAGUUAUUAAUUAAAAAUCAGUAACUCUUUGUUGACAUUUUUCUUUUUAGAGUCGAGAUUAUGAACUUUUGGGUAUUUAAGCUACACCAACUUAAUCUAGUUUUGUUCUUUUAAGGGGUCAUCUUGCUCAUUUUUCGUAAUGUAUAAUAACCAUUUUGUUUAUUUUUCAAAUAGAUGGAUUGUAAUGCAAUUUAAGAUAUAAGACAAUGACUUGUAUAAUGUUUUUACCAUUGGUAUCAUUUUACAACUAGUGAGAUUAAUUUAUUAAUAAUUAUAUAGUAAUUCUCCGAGCAUGUAUUUUGUGAAAGAAAUAUUAAUUUACAUUUAGCUUGUCUUUUUUCUCCUUUUUAUAUAGUAAUACAUUUCUUAGUUGCUAAGUUUUAAAUCUUAAAUAAAAACUAAAUCUUUUAAUUGGCCCCAAAAUCGAAGGCCAUCCUUGGAGCUGAUAAUGAACAUAACCCAAUCAAUUUCAUGGGCUAUUGGAACAUUGAAAAUUAUAGUUUUUGAUUUUAAUUUUAUUUAUUUAUUUAUAUUAUCUUUAAAUAUUUUAAAGUAAUUUAGUUGCUUUAAAUAUCAUUUUUAAAACAACUAUAAUUUUUGUUUAAGACAUUGUUAUUUGCUAAAUAAAAAGUCGGUUUUGUUGAAUGAAAUUUUAUAAAGAAAUCAAUUUCAGGUUUUUUACUUGCAAAGAUAGUUGUAAUUUCUAUUUUGUGCUUUGCAAAGAUUCUUAAUAUGUAUUGUUCAUUUUUCUUUGUCAAUGUGUUAUUGCUUUAUCUUCUUCUUUGGCUUGCUUGAUUGCUUCUUCCACCCACACUUAAGCCUCUUGUAUUCACUGAAUUAUUGUAAGUUCUUCUGCAAUUAAAUUCUUUGAUUUUGGUUUAUUGUUAUUGAGAUUAAUAUUGAAGAAAUGUGAUCAUUUUCCUAUGAUUUGAAUAUAUGUAACACUUUAAUAUCUUGCAGUAAUGAUUUGUUUGCCUUUAAUAGUACAAAGUGAGAGGCGUAAAAGAAUUGAUAUUACAUUGACAGUAUGGUUGCAAAUGGGUACAGUUGCGAGUUGCUUCUUAGUUACAUUAGGUGUCGUCCAUAGCCUACAUACGUAGAGACCAAGGAUUAGAUCAUAUAUUUUAGAUUUUUAUGCAAAAU